rnacentral:rRNA from 1 species
UACGGGGGGGGCAAGCGUUGUUCGGAAUUACUGGGCGUAAAGGGCUCGUAGGCGGCCAACUAAGUCAGACGUGAAAUCCCCAGGCUUAACCUGGGAACUGCGUCUGAUACUGGAUGGCUUGAAUUCGGGAGAGGGAUGCAGAAUUCCAGGUGUAGCGGUGAAAUGCGUAGAUAUCUGGAGGAACACCGGUGGCGAAGGCGGCAUCCUGGACCAAUAUUGACGCUGAGGAGCGAAAGCCAGGGGAGCAAACGGG